rnacentral:tRNA from 3 species
GCGCCCGUAGCUCAGUUGGAUAGAGCGUCUGGCUACGAACCAGAAGGUCGGCAGUUCGAAUCUGUCCGGGCGCACCA